UACGUAGGUGGCAAGCGUUGUCCGGAAUUAUUGGGCGUAAAGCGCGCGCAGGCGGUCUCUUAAGUCUGAUGUGAAAGCCCCCGGCUCAACCGGGGAGGGUCAUUGGAAACUGGGAGACUUGAGUGCAGAAGAGAAGAGUGGAAUUCCACGUGUAGCGGUGAAAUGCGUAGAGAUGUGGAGGAACACCAGUGGCGAAGGCGGCAUCCUGGACCGGUAUUGACACUGAGGCGCGAAAGCCAGGGGAGCAAACGGG
rnacentral:rRNA from 1 species